UGUGUUCUUACUCAGGAUAGGAGAAGGUUCUGGAGUCUUGGUCUUGGAGGAACUUGAGCAUGCUAAAAAUCGAGGAGCCAAAAUCUAUGCAGAGAUUCGUGGCUAUGGGAUGUCAGGGGAUGCAUAUCACAUUACUCAACCUCCUAGUGAUGGGAGAGGUGCCAUUCUGGCCAUGACUCGUGCUUUAAGACAGGUUUUUUAAUCAUCCUAUGUUGAUUUGUAUUUUCUACGUAGCAUUAGAGGUUUUAUGUUUGCUAAGCUGCCAACUUAUCAUGUAUGCAUGUUGUGACUAUAUUUUUCCUUUCUCCCCCACGUUUUAUAUAUAGUAUUAUCCAACAAACUUCAUACUCCAGAUGUCAUGUUUUGAGCGUGACAAUGGUGUUGAUUGAGAU